GACGAAGGUGGCAAGCGUUGUUCGGAAUCACUGGGCUUAAAGAGCACGUAGGCGGCCGGUCAAGUGUCCUGUGAAAUCCCUCGGCUCAACCGAGGAAUUGCAGGGCAAACUGAUUGGCUUGAGGCAGGUAGGGGCGUGUGGAACUCUUGGUGGAGCGGUGAAAUGCGUAGAUAUCAAGAGGAACGCCGGAGGCGAAAGCGACGCGCUGGGCCUGUCCUGACGCUGAGGUGCGAAAGCCAGGGGAGCGAACGGGAUUAGAUACCCCCGUA
rnacentral:rRNA from 1 species